rnacentral:tRNA from 1 species
UAGCCCAGUUGGUAGAGCACCAGACUUUUAAUCUGAGGGGCCAGGGUUCAUGUCCCUG